CAAGAGGCAGACCUCAGGCCGUCUGAAGGAGAACUUUGUGUUCAAGUGAAGAAAACAGCCAGGAUUGCAAUCCAGGGGUCUAGGCUUUCUGUGGCCCUUUCCAGACUUAGAAUUUGGCCUCAGGCAGGACAACUCACUCAGAGCGGUACGUGGGUAGCUGGGGCCUGUGUAUGACAGGCAAGGCCAAGCUGGUUCAAAGAACAGCCUGCCACCUUGGCAAGGGUGUGCGUGUAGCAGCUGGACCAGUCACCAACCUCACCCACUGAAGGAAGCAGGGAUGGUCAGGUUCCCACAGCCUGAGUGCCUGCCACCUGAUGGCUGCUGGAGCAGAGGCCUGAGGAAAGCAGAUGGCACUGAGGCCCUACCUCUAGGAUAGAAGAAAUGAUGUAUCCUGAACGGCAGCGAGUGAGGUUGGUGUGCUGGUCCACCGGCUCCUGGCACACCCUUGCAGAUUUGGCUCAUUGCUCUUUGAUCCAGCUUGGCCUUGCCAGAGUAAUGAUUCUCACUGUGGAGUCAUUUGAUUAAUAAGACCCAUUGGCAUAAGAUUACAUCCUCUGACUGCAAAUAUCCUGGAAGAAAAACUAGGAAAUAUUCUUCUGGACGUUGCACUUCGCAAUGAAUUUGUGGAGACCUUCAGAUAGAAAAUGCAGUUCAAAGAUAUUUCAUAAAGGAAGAAAAGAAGUAUGAAGACAGGAUAGCAAAUACAGAAAGAAUUCUUGUGAUAAUAGAGAACACAGAACUGUUGAACAGUGUUGAAGCUGAGCUGGAGAGAGUCACCAAAGCUGGCGCGGAAGCUGGCAAGGUCGGAGAGUUUCCUGCCUGGGCACAGCUUGAGCUCACCCCUGCGCCACCGCCAGUGGCAGAAACUGCAGACCCAGCUGGGCCCUGAGGCCUCCGCCCCAUCCUCCCACCAGCCAGCAGCUGUGCUGAGGUCGCAGAUAGGCGACCCUGGAGCGGUGCACCUGAGGGAAGGCGGCCCAUGUUCCGGACAGCAGCAGGACACCAGGAUCCAGGGACCCACCUCCCGCCGCGGGAACCCCAAACCUUGCCUGGCGCCCCUUGCUUGCUCCGCCUGGCCUCCAGAGGCCGGUGUGUGUCCUGGUCAUGAGGAUGCACAGCAGGUGCCCGGGAGUCCCCCUCCGCCAUGGCCUACCGCUCUGCCAGCCAUCACGCCUGGUUCGCGGACCGCAGCCUGGCUGCCUCUGAUCCCGCCAGGCCGGGACCUGUCCUCCUCCUGGGCGACCAGCCGGGGGAAUGCACACUGCCCGGUGGCCUGCACAGCCCCUGACCGCCCAUCCCCUCUGGCGCAUCCGCCCCAGGCCAGGACCUUCCUGUAGCACAGAACCCACCUUCCUUCCCGCCGCAGAGCUGCUCCGCUUCCGCCACCCACAGGGAAAAACGCAGAUCUCCAAACAAACAGAAAUCCCCGUGUGACUCCUCUGGUUGGAUACUGCCAGUCCCCACAUUUACUUCCAGGAGUUUUCUUGGCAGAAGGUGUCCCAUGUUUGAUGUUUCACCAGCGAUGAGGCUGAAAAGUGACAGCAACAGAGAAACACAUCAGGCUUUCCGCAACAAAGAUGACCUUCCCUUCUUCAAACCUCAGCAAUCUCCAAGGCCCACAAAGGACUCAGGACAAGAUGACUGAGCUGGAGUACUCGGCCCGGGAAAUGCAGGCCCAGAGCGGGUCACCUCCUUAGGGCAGGCCCAGCCUUCUCCUGGCUGCCUGGGUGCCUUUCUCCUCACUCCCACCCAAUGCAGGGGACCCCACAAACUCGGCUCUCGGGGCUCCCUGCACCUCCCUCCACAGGAGCCACCUCCUGCCCGCCAAGCUGGGGCCUUCUGGGGCGUCCUGGGCUGAGAGGGCAAGGUGCCAGCUCUGCACGCUGGAGAAGGAACACCGCUACACUGUCACACUGACACACCGCCACACGAAGACACACCACACAGGCACACCACCACAUGGCCACAUGGACAGACACACACAUGGAGAUGUCACCAUACGGACACACAGACACACCACCACACUGUCACAUGUACAGACACACGGAGACAUUACGACACGGACACACUGCCACACUGUCACAUGGACGGACAGACAGACAUACGGAGAAGUCACCACACGGGCACAGCACCAGACUGUCACACGGACACAGACACACGGAGACAUCACCAUAAGGACACACGACCACAUACCACAGGGACACACAGACACACAG